rnacentral:rRNA from 1 species
UACAGAGGUCUCAAGCGUUGUUCGGAUUCAUUGGGCGUAAAGGGUGCGUAGGCGGCGCGGUAAGUCGGGUGUGAAAUCUCGGGAGCUUAACUCCGGAAACUGCAUUCGAUACUGCCGUGCUUGAGGACUGGAGAGGAGACUGGAAUUUACGGUGUAGCGGUGAAAUGCGUAGAUAUCGUAAGGAGACCAGUGGCGAAGGCGGGUCUCUGGACAGUUCCUGACGCUGAGGCACGGAAGGUCAGGGGAGCAAACGGG